rnacentral:rRNA from 1 species
UACGAAGGGGGCUAGCGUUGUUCGGAUUUACUGGGCGUAAAGCGCGCGUAGGCGGUUUUGCAAGUCGGGUGUGAAAUCCCCAGGCUUAACCUGGGAACUGCAUUCGAGACUGCAUUACUAGAGUAUGGGAGAGGGAAGUGGAAUUUCCGGUGUAGCGGUGAAAUGCGUAGAUAUCGGAAGGAACAUCAGUGGCGAAAGCGACUUCCUGGACCAAUACUGACGCUCAUGUGCGAAAGCGUGGGGAGCAAACAGG